CAAAUGUUGACCAACAGCUGAAUGGCCAACCAAACUGUGGUGCACCGAUACAAUGGAAUACUAAUCAGCAAUGAAAAGAAAGGACAUAUUGAUACACACAUUUGGCUGAAUCUCAAAAUACUUACGUUGAGUGAAAAGGAGCCAGAAAAAACAAGAGUACAUUCUCUAUAAUUCUAUUUACACAAAAAAUAGAAAAUGCAACUCAUCCACUGUGAUAGAAGCGAUCAGUAUUUUCCUGGGAUCACAAAGGGAAGCAAAAAAAAAAAAAAACUUGGGGGACAAAGUCCACAAAGAUACUCAGGGCCCAAAGAUAUGGAGAUGGGUGGUCGGUAGACUGGCCAGUGGCGUUAGGGCUGGCAUGAAGUCCUGAACUUUUCAGGAAGCUCUGUGAGGGCUUAGAACCAACGUCAGAGAAACCAGAAAGCUUAUUUCAGGUUGUUUGGUGUCUAAUAACUCAGAAAUUAAAAUUCUGCCUGCAAAGUAGGUCCCACACAGCCUGAAAAUUCUCUGCUUUGUUAGGACUCAGAAGGCAUGGCCUCCAAAUGUUGCCUAAUGAUAAUCAGGGCUGAAGUGGAAUCAGAUGCAACAGUUCCUGAGAUCUGACAUCAUCCUUAGGUGGCCUCAGGCCCCUGGGUGGCAGGGCGGCUGGAGUCUGGUUCGGAAGCAGUGUCCUGAUUGUGCAAUCAGAGAUAAUUGGUUUCUAACUCUGAUCCCAUUUAUUCUUCCCAUCUCCAGCCAGGAAAAGCUGCCUUGGCUCCUUUGUUUUUAGCCUCCACAUUUUCUUACUGUCAGCUGCUAAACAUUUUCGUUUCUUCCAUCUUCUGGCAUCUUCUCUUGCCUACCUCAUGCAGCCCUUCCCUCACCUUCGGGCUGCUCAUCAUUUACUCUCCUCUCCUUGCCCCCUGGGCAACACAGGCAGCCCGUUCUCCCCAUCCCCUUUCCAGAAGAACCCCUGAUCACCCUCGGAAAACGUGUCCCUUAUGCCAUCCCCCAGGAAGUGUAGUAGCUCCCCUCUCUUUCCCUUGAGCAGCAACUACAGAAUCCACCCUCCCUUUGAUUAAUAACAUCCCCUGCUGCCAUGCUGUUUCUUUAAAAACCAACCAUCCCUGUGUCUCUUACACCAGACUGCCAGCUUCCUGGGGUUUGCCUUGCCAGCCCCUUUCCCAUCCACGAGUUGCCUGUGCUCAGUGAAAAUGUCACUAGGCUUUUUGCAUAAGCCCAAGUAAAGCAGAACUCAUUCAUUCGGGGGGGAAAAAGCCUAGGUUGCAAUGACUUUACACAUCAAUAAGACAUAUGUAUAAAGCUGUUCAAGUUGUUAAUGAUUCAACAUGAAACAUCCAAUAUCACACGGGACAAAGCACCUUACUAACCAUUAAUGAAUACGCAUACACAGAAUAUGAGAUCGCUCCUGAACUCCUUUCAGCUGCCUUUGAUAAUACAGGCUCCUGUAUCAUCCCUGCCACAUAAUGAAAACCUCAGCCUGAAUUGUAUCAAUGCAAAUCACAGGAGCUGCCUGCAAGCUUGUGUAUUAUAACUUACCUGUGGGGCCAAUAAAAAGAUAUCCCAUUAUCAGCCUUGUCCACUUAACUAUUAAUAAGACAUUCCCAGGCCUUCCAUCCCAUGCCCCUUUCCUGCUCACAUGACCAGCACCACAAAACCUGCUUCACUUCCCCACUUGCAGACUUAACUAGGGAAAGGUGCUCCGAGUGAUUUGAGCAUCUACAAAAUGAAAUCCACAUAGAAUAAUAGAAGGGAGUUCUUCAGUGGUGCAAGGUCUUUCCUCCCAAACACUGGAAGUCCCAGGGACUGAGGCACCUCUGUCCUGAGCCACAGUCCUUCCAUUUCUUCGGAAAGGCCUUCCUCAGAGUCUUAGGUCUUGUCCGCUGUCUUCCUUGC
rnacentral:lncRNA from 1 species